UACGUGGGGGGCGAACGUUGUUCGGUGUCACUGGGCUUAAAGGGUGCGUAGGUGGUUACGUAAGUAACGUGUGAAAGCCCUCGGCUUACCCGGGGAAUUGCGCGUUAUACUGCGUGACUUGAGGAUUUCAGGGGAAAGGGGAACUCCGAGUGUAGCGGUGAAAUGCGCAGAUAUUCGGGGGAAGGCCGGCGGCGAAGGCGCCUUUCUGGGAAAUUCCUGACACUGAGGCACGAAAGCGUGGGGAGCAAACAGG
rnacentral:rRNA from 1 species